AUCGGAUUCGACUUAAGAUGUUGAUGUGUAGGCGGCAUGCCGAGGAAGCCUGGUUGGCCUCGUAAAAAAUCUGGGCAAAAACUAAACGCAAACUACGAUGUAGUUGCUGAGGCAGAAAGCAUCCUCGCGGGUGCCGAAGCCGCAUUAGUCUAAGUUACAAGCUAACUUAGCCUUUUUAUCGGGGGUCGCCCGCGACUCGAUAAAAAGCACACUGUGGGCUGGUUCUGAUAAACGUUUUCGGUGUCAGAAUGAGAUCUUAGAAAACUGGGUUUAACGCAUCCUGUACGCUGGAGACGUUAAACCAAGACCAAAAAACGUUCUACGCAUGUAGAAGCUUACGCAAAGCUCUUUAAGGACCGGGGUUCGAUUU
rnacentral:tmRNA from 1 species